GGUCCGAUGGUGUAGUUGGCUAUCACGUCAGUCUAACACGCUGAAGGUCUCCAGUUGGAGCCUGGAUCAGAUCA